CCUACGGGUGGCUGCAGUGGGGAAUAUUGCACAAUGGGGGAAACCCUGAUGCAGCGACGCCGCGUGAGUGAAGAAGUAAUUCGUUAUGUAAAGCUCUAUCAGCAGGGAAGAAAAUGACGGUACCUGAAGAAAAGGCAUCGGCUAACUCCGUGCCAGCAGCCGCGGUAAUACGGAGGAUGCGAGCGUUAUCCGGAUUUAUUGGGUUUAAAGGGUGCGCAGGCGGCCUGGUAAGUCAGCGGUAAAAGCGCGGGGCUCAACCUCGGCGAGCCGUUGAAACUGGCGGGCUGGAGUUGGAGAGAAGUACGCGGAAUGCGCGGGGUAGCGGUGAAAUGCAUAGAUAUCGCGCAGAACCCCGAUUGCGAAGGCAGCGUACCGGCUCCACACUGACGCUGAGGCACGAAAGCGUGGGUAUCGAACAGGAUUAGAUACCCUUGUAGUC
rnacentral:rRNA from 1 species